rnacentral:rRNA from 1 species
CCUACGGGAGGCAGCAGUGAGGAAUAUUGGUCAAUGGACGCAAGUCUGAACCAGCCAAGUAGCGUGAAGGAUGACUGCCCUAUGAGUUGUAAACUUCUUUUAUAUGGGAAUAAAAUGUUCCACGUGUGGGAUUUUGUAUGUACCAUAUGAAUAAGGAUCGGCUAACUCCGUGCCAGCAGCCGCGGUAAUACGGAGGAUCCGAGCGUUAUCCGGAUUUAUUGGGUUUAAAGGGAGCGUAGGUGGUUGGUUAAGUAAGUGGUGAAAGUUUGCGGCUCAACCGUAAAAUUGCAGUUGAAACUGGCAGUCUAGAGUAUAGUAGCGGUGGGCGGAAUGUGUGGUGUAGCGGUGAAAUGCUUAGAUAUCACGAAGAACUCCGAUUGCGAAGGCAGCUCACUGGACUGCAACUGACAUUGAGGCUCGAAAGUGUGGGUAUCAAACAGGAUUAGAUACCCGAGUAGUC